rnacentral:rRNA from 1 species
AUUAGAGUUUGAUCCUGGCUCAGAUUGAACGCUGGCGGCAGGCCUAACACAUGCAAGUCGAGCGGCAGCGGAAAGUAGCUUGCUACUUUGCCGGCGAGCGGCGGACGGGUGAGUAAUGUCUGGGAAACUGCCUGAUGGAGGGGGAUAACUACUGGAAACGGUAGCUAAUACCGCAUAACGUCGCAAGACCAAAGAGGGGGACCUUCGGGCCUCUUGCCAUCAGAUGUGCCCAGAUGGGAUUAGCUAGUAGGUGGGGUAACGGCUCACCUAGGCGACGAUCCCUAGCUGGUCUGAGAGGAUGACCAGCCACACUGGAACUGAGACACGGUCCAGACUCCUACGGGAGGCAGCAGUGGGGAAUAUUGCACAAUGGGCGCAAGCCUGAUGCAGCCAUGCCGCGUGUAUGAAGAAGGCCUUCGGGUUGUAAAGUACUUUCAGCGGGGAGGAAGGCGAUAAGGUUAAUAACCUUGUCGAUUGACGUUACCCGCAGAAGAAGCACCGGCUAACUCCGUGCCAGCAGCCGCGGUAAUACGGAGGGUGCAAGCGUUAAUCGGAAUUACUGGGCGUAAAGCGCACGCAGGCGGUCUGUCAAGUCGGAUGUGAAAUCCCCGGGCUCAACCUGGGAACUGCAUUCGAAACUGGCAGGCUAGAGUCUUGUAGAGGGGGGUAGAAUUCCAGGUGUAGCGGUGAAAUGCGUAGAGAUCUGGAGGAAUACCGGUGGCGAAGGCGGCCCCCUGGACAAAGACUGACGCUCAGGUGCGAAAGCGUGGGGAGCAAACAGGAUUAGAUACCCUGGUAGUCCACGCCGUAAACGAUGUCGACUUGGAGGUUGUGCCCUUGAGGCGUGGCUUCCGGAGCUAACGCGUUAAGUCGACCGCCUGGGGAGUACGGCCGCAAGGUUAAAACUCAAAUGAAUUGACGGGGGCCCGCACAAGCGGUGGAGCAUGUGGUUUAAUUCGAUGCAACGCGAAGAACCUUACCUACUCUUGACAUCCAGAGAACUUUCCAGAGAUGGAUUGGUGCCUUCGGGAACUCUGAGACAGGUGCUGCAUGGCUGUCGUCAGCUCGUGUUGUGAAAUGUUGGGUUAAGUCCCGCAACGAGCGCAACCCUUAUCCUUUG